rnacentral:rRNA from 1 species
GGGGGGGCUUAACAUGCAAGUCGAACGAUGACGGUGGUGCUUGCACUACCUGAUUAGUGGCGAACGGGUGAGUAACACGUGAGUAACCUGCCCCUCACUUCGGGAUAACCUCGGGAAAUCGUGGCUAAUACCGGAUAUUAGUGUGCACCGCAUGGUGCGUGUUGGAAAGAUUUAUCGGUGGGGGAUGGACUCGCGGCCUAUCAGUUUGUUGGUGAGGUAAUGGCUCACCAAGACGAUGACGGGUAGCCGGCCUGAGAGGGCGACCGGCCACACUGGGACUGAGACACGGCCCAGACUCCUACGGGAGGCAGCAGUGGGGAAUAUUGCACAAUGGGCGAAAGCCUGAUGCAGCGACGCCGCGUGGGGGAUGACGGCCUUCGGGUUGUAAACCCCUUUCAGUAGGGAAGAAGCGAAAGUGACGGUACCUGCAGAAGAAGCGCCGGCUAACUACGUGCCAGCAGCCGCGGUAAUACGUAGGGCGCAAGCGUUGUCCGGAAUUAUUGGGCGUAAAGAGCUUGUAGGUGGCUUGUCGCGUCUGCCGUGAAAACCCGAGGCUCAACUUCGGGCGUGCGGUGGGUACGGGCAGGCUAGAGUGUGGUAGGGGAGACUGGAACUCCUGGUGUAGCGGUGAAAUGCGCAGAUAUCAGGAAGAACACCGAUGGCGAAGGCAGGUCUCUGGGCCAUUACUGACACUGAGAAGCGAAAGCAUGGGUAGCGAACAGGAUUAGAUACCCUGGUAGUCCAUGCCGUAAACGUUGGGCACUAGGUGUGGGGGACAUUCCACGUUUUCCGCGCCGUAGCUAACGCAUUAAGUGCCCCGCCUGGGGAGUACGGCCGCAAGGCUAAAACUCAAAGGAAUUGACGGGGGCCCGCACAAGCGGCGGAGCAUGCUGAUUAAUUCGAUGCAACGCGAAGAACCUUACCAAGGCUUGACAUGCACCGGACGACUCCAGAGAUGGGGUUUUCUUCGGACUGGUGCACAGGUGGUGCAUGGUUGUCGUCAUCUCUUGUCCUGAGAUGUUGGGUUAAU